CCUACGGGGGGCAGCAGUGGGGAAUAUUGGACGAUGGGGGCAACCCUGAUCCAGCCAUGCCGCGUGUGUGAAGAAGGCCCUCGGGUUGUAAAGCACUUUCAGUGAGGAAGAACGCCUGGUGGUUAAUACCCAUCAGGAAAGACAUCACUCACAGAAGAAGCACCGGCUAACUCCGUGCCAGCAGCCGCGGUAAUACGGAGGGUGCGAGCGUUAAUCGGAAUUACUGGGCGUAAAGCGCGCGUAGGUGGCUUGAUAAGCCGGUUGUGAAAGCCCCGGGCUCAACCUGGGAACGGCAUCCGGAACUGUCAAGCUAGAGUGCAGGAGAGGAAGGUAGAAUUCCCGGUGUAGCGGUGAAAUGCGUAGAGAUCGGGAGGAAUACCAGUGGCGAAGGCGGCCUUCUGGACUGACACUGACACUGAGGUGCGAAAGCGUGGGUAGCAAACAGGAUUAGAUACCCGGGUAGUC
rnacentral:rRNA from 1 species